UGUAAAAUUCUUUCACCGGGGACGAUAAUGACGGUACCCGGAGAAGAAGCCCCGGCUAACUCCGUGCCAGCAGCCGCGGUAAUACGAAGGGGGCUAGCGUUGCUCGGAAUUACUGGGCGUAAAGGGAGCGUAGGCGGACAUUUAAGUCAGGGGUGAAAUCCCGGGGCUCAACCUCGGAAUUGCCUUUGAUACUGGGUGUCUUGAGUAU
rnacentral:rRNA from 3 species